GUUACCUGGUUGAUUCUGC
rnacentral:rRNA from 1 species